AACGAACGCUGGCGGCAGGCCUAACACAUGCAAGUCGAGCGAGGACUUCGGUUCUAGCGGCGGACGGGUGAGUAACGCGUGGGAAUGUGCCCUUCUCUACGGAAUAGCCCUGGGAAACUGGGAGUAAUACCGUAUACGCCCCAUUGGGGAAAGAUUUAUCGGAGAAGGAUCAGCCCGCGUUGGAUUAGGUAGUUGGUGGGGUAAUGGCCUACCAAGCCGACGAUCCAUAGCUGGUUUGAGAGGAUGAUCAGCCACACUGGGACUGAGACACGGCCCAGACUCCUACGGGAGGCAGCAGUGGGGAAUCUUAGACAAUGGGGGCAACCCUGAUCUAGCCAUGCCGCGUGAGUGAUGAAGGCCUUAGGGUUGUAAAGCUCUUUCAGCUGGGAAGAUAAUGACGGUACCAGCAGAAGAAGCCCCGGCUAACUCCGUG
rnacentral:rRNA from 1 species